rnacentral:snoRNA from 1 species
AACAAUCAUGUCGGGGGGCUGCCCCGUGGUGGCUCCCUCUGAAGCGUCGCUGCGCGCGACCACUUGACUGAACCCCUGUUAAGCGUCAUCCGCUGACUUGCACUGCGGCUGCGUUAGCGUGUUGCGCUGGUAUGUGGGCGGCCCACCUGCACUUCGCUCGUCCCGCUCGCGUGUCGAUGGGUGGUGCCGAUGGAUGGUGUGAGGGAGAACGCGGGCUGUGAUUGUGCGCG